GACUCGGUAGCUCAGUUGGUAGAGCACUUCACUUUUAAUGAAGGGGUCGAUGGUUCGAACCCAUCCCGAGUCACCA
rnacentral:tRNA from 1 species